rnacentral:tRNA from 1 species
GGGGCCGUAGGGUAGCCUGGUAAUCCUAUCGGCUUUGGGAGCCGGUGACCCGAGUUCGAAUCUCGGCGGCCCCA